UUUGUCCCCAAAUACUUCAAAUUCGUGUGCAUGGUUGAUGUAAAUCUUAUUCAAGUCAGCCACUCUUUGAAAGGUGCUGUUGGAGUUGAAGUUCUUUAUGGAAAAUUAUGUUCAUUUUAAUUAUAAGCGUACGAGCACUUCCCAAUUGCUUGAAGUUGCAUGGCAUCAGGCUUGUACCAGAUUGUGAAGUAAGCUGGUUGGUUAAGGCUCAGUAGCAAAUCCGAGGCAGUCACCGUAUGAGGCAUUAAGAUUUGUUUCUCUGGGUCUAAACCACAUUUACUCCAAAAGCAGGUCUACAGAUAAUGCAAUUGUACAUGGAGGGUUAUCGACAAGACUGGAAGCUUUCUUUCGAACAGGACACUAUGGCCAGAGGCGGCUGGUAUAUAUAUUCGUUUAGGGGUGUGUUAUGCACACAUCUCAAAUUACUUUUCACACCCCUUGUUAAU
rnacentral:sRNA from 1 species